AGCGAACGCUGGCGGCAGGCUUAACACAUGCAAGUCGAACGGAUCCUUCGGGAUUAGUGGCGGACGGGUGAGUAACACGUGGGAACGUGCCUUUUGGUUCGGAACAACACAGGGAAACUUGUGCUAAUACCGGAUGUGCCCUUCGGGGGAAAGAUUUAUCGCCAUUAGAGCGGCCCGCGUCUGAUUAGCUAGUUGGUGAGGUAAAGGCUCACCAAGGCUACGAUCAGUAGCUGGUCNGAGAGGAUGAUCAGCCACACUGGGACUGAGACACGGCCCAGACUCCUACGGGAGGCAGCAGUGGGGAAUCUUGCGCAAUGGGGGAAACCCUGACGCAGCCAUGCCGCGUGAAUGAUGAAGGUCUUA
rnacentral:rRNA from 1 species